GGUCAGCUGACACAUCCCUGCCAAUCUCCGGCAGACCCUCCCUCCCAGACCCUCUCACCUCCUGGACAGCAUCCAUGUUGAAGCUGCCUUCAACAUGGAUGCUGUCCAGGAAUUAGGAGGGUCUGGGAGGGAGGGUCUGCCGGAGAUUGGCAGGGAUGUGUCAGCUG